AACGAACGCUGGCGGCAGGCUUAACACAUGCAAGUCGAGCGCCCCGCAAGGGGAGCGGCAGACGGGUGAGUAACGCGUGGGAACAUACCCUUUCCUGCGGAAUAGCUCCGGGAAACUGGAAUUAAUACCGCAUACGCCCUACGGGGGAAAGAUUUAUCGGGGAGGGAUUGGCCCGCGUUGGAUUAGCUAGUUGGUGGGGUAAAGGCCUACCAAGGGGACGAUCCAUAGCUGGUCUGAGAGGAUGAUCAGCCACAUUGGGACUGAGACACGGCCCAAACUCCUACGGGAGGCAGCAGUGGGGAAUAUUGGACAAUGGGCGCAAGCCUGAUCCAGCCAUGCCGCGUGAGUGAUGAAGGCCUUAGGGUUGUAAAGCUCUUUCACCGGAGAAGAUAAUGACGGUAUCCGGAGAAGAAGCCCCGGCUAACUUCGUGCCAGCCGCCGCCGUAA
rnacentral:rRNA from 1 species